UAAGCUCCAGAAAGUAUCGACAUUGCAAAAUCAAUGUGGAUAGUGACCAAUUGGCGCUAAAAUUGACACUAAACUGGGACAUGUUACCGAUCUCAGUUGAGCCAACAGGGCCGCAAAGAUUUAAGCCUGUCUUUGUACGGUAGUAAACAGCUCACACAAA